CCGUGCUAGAUGGGGAGUUAGCGGUGCCUUGUAACCUGCAAUCCGCUAUAGCAGGAUUGAAUUCCUCACGGAGGCCCUAAUCUGUAAGGUCUGGCCUGUAAAAGUGGCGUUGAGAACUGGGUCCCACGCAACGAAAAUCUAUGAACCCCGUCAGGUCCGGAAGGAAGCAGCGGUAAGUAGACACUUUCGUGUGCCGUGGAAAAGCCUGGUUUGAGCUAACUGUACAGGUAACGCUUAUAUGUUAGUGUCGAUGUGAGGUGCACGG
rnacentral:SRP_RNA from 1 species